AUUGAACGCUGGCGGAAUGCUUUACACAUGCAAGUCGAACGGCAGCACGGGGCAACCUGGUGGCGAGUGGCGAACGGGUGAGUAAUACAUCGGAACGUGCCCAAUCGUGGGGGAUAACGUAGCGAAAGUUACGCUAAUACCGCAUACGAUCUACGGAUGAAAGCGGGGGAUCGCAAGACCUCGCGCGAAUGGAGCGGCCGAUGUCAGAUUAGCUAGUUGGUGGGGUAAAGGCCUACCAAGGCAACGAUCUGUAGUUGGUCUGAGAGGACGACCAGCCACACUGGG
rnacentral:rRNA from 1 species